rnacentral:lncRNA from 1 species
GGACAGUUUUGAUACAGCAUGCCAUGAACAGACCAGGAAAAGUGCAAGUUUCCAGUCCUUUUUAUGAAGAUAACCUUCAAAAUGCCUUCAAACUCACUCCAGCUGAAAGUCUGUCAAGGAAGUAAAGACUCUUCAAAAGCAGCAUGUGCUUAAUCAGAAACAAGUUCUGAAGGAAGACUGUGGACAAAUCUAAUGACUUCCACUUUUGUUCAGUUCUCGCAUAACCUGCGAACACGUUUGUGGAUACUACACCUCUGUUAGCUAAUGCAGCUUAAAUACAAAGGAUUCAUUCUGCUCUGUAAAAUCCUCAGUGCACCUUCAGAAUUAC